UACGGAGGAUCCAAGCGUUAUCCGGAUUCAUUGGGUUUAAAGGGUGCGUAGGCGGAAUGAUAAGUCAGUGGUGAAAUCUCGGAGCUUAACUCCGAAACUGCCAUUGAUACUGUCAAUCUUGAGUACAUUUGAUGUGGGCGGAAUGUGUCAUGUAGCGGUGAAAUGCUUAGAUAUGACACAGAACACCGAUUGCGAAGGCAGCUCACAAAAACUGUAACUGACGCUGAGGCACGAAAAGCGUGGGUAUCAAACAGG
rnacentral:rRNA from 1 species